UAGGGAAUCUUCGGCAAUGGACGAAAGUCUGACCGAGCAACGCCGCGUGAGUGUAGAAGGUUUUCGGAUCGUAAAACUCUGUUGUUAGAGAAGAACAAGGACGUUAGUAACUGAACGUCCCCUGACGGUAUCUAACCAGAAAGCCACGGCUAACUACGUGCCCGCAGCCGCGGUAUUACGCAGGUGGCAAGCGUUGUCCGAAUUUAUUGGGCGUAAAGCGAGCGCAGGCGGUUUCUUAAGUCUGAUGUGUAAGCCCCCGGCUCAACCGGGGAGGGUAAUUGGAAACUGGGAGACUUGGGUGCAGAAGAGGAGAGUGGAAUUCCAUGUGUAGCGGUGAAAUGCGUAGAUAUAUGGAGGAACACCAGUGGCGAAGGCGGCUCUCUGGACUGUAACUGACGCUGAGGCUCGAAAGCGUGGGGAGCAAACAGG
rnacentral:rRNA from 1 species